UAUAGAUUAGUAUAAGAUGUACCUAAGUUUUUGAAUCUUAAAGUAAUAAUUUAAUUUUGUUAUCUAUAA
rnacentral:tRNA from 1 species